GUAAAAGUCCAACACCCCAUGUUAUAUUAACCCCUUUUCCCCUUUCUUCUUCUUCUCAAAGUCCUAAUUCCUCUUCUUCAAUAUGAAUUUCUUUGGCAAAAUUGAUUUUUUUCCUUCCAAUUUGAAAGAUCCUCGUCCUUCUUCUUUGAUUUCAGUUGAAGUUUUCUUCAUAUCUUCUCUCUCCUAAUUUUUUACUUGACAAUGUCUGAAAAUUCAGAGAGGACUAAUUAAUGCCGACAUGCUUGGGCAUGUGUGUUGAAAAUCUCAUGAAGUUCAGCAAACCCAGGAAGAAGGUAUUUUGUAUGCAAAAAUAGCGUAGUAAAUAUAUAUUUCGAUAAUAUUUUUUGUUUCUUUGAUCUUAAUAUUGGUACGUAUUUGCAGUUUUUUAGUUGGAUAUGUUUUAAAGGACAAAUGAGGAUGUCACUACUUCAGAUGGUUUGAUGAGUCAUUUUCUGACCAAGCAAAUAAAGUUAUUUGGGUUUUGUUGAAGAUAGUCAAGUCCUUUAAUCAAGAAAGGGAAAGCGCUAGACAAUGGAGGAAUAAGUUGUUGUUGGUUGUUCACUACUUGUCGUAAUUAUUUGGUUGUGUUAUUAUUCUUGCAAUUAUUGAUGCCAACAGAAUUUGAAAGUGGCUGAAGAUGGUUGAUAGUGUGAUAGUGGGAUGGUUGUUAGUGUUCUUAGUAUUUGAGAGGUUUUUAUAGUUGCUGCCUUUUGUUGUUUGGAUGUUGCCUGUGUAAUUAUGUAAUAUGUUGUUCUAGGAUAUUUACAUCAUAUUUAGCUGCUAAUGUAAUUUACAAUGUUUGAAUCAUAUUUUGGUCGAAUUGGUUCUAAGAAAUAGUUGUUAGACUUCACAUUUGAUGCCUAUUAUAGAAGUUGGUAAUAUCAUAAACGUUUUG
rnacentral:lncRNA from 1 species